rnacentral:rRNA from 1 species
AGUGAACGCUGGCGGUAGGCCUAACACAUGCAAGUCGAACGGCAGCACAGUAAGAGCUUGCUCUUACGGGUGGCGAGUGGCGGACGGGUGAGGAAUACAUCGGAAUCUACUUUUUCUUGGGGGAUAACGUAGGGAAACUUACGCUAAUACCGCAUACGACCUACGGGUGAAAGCAUGGGUUCUUCUGACCUUUCGCUAUUGAUUGAGCCGAUGUCGGAUUAGCUAGUUGGCGUGGUAAAGGCCCACCAAGGCGACGAUCCGUAGCUGGUCUGAGAGGAUGAUCAGCCAAACUGGAACUGAGACACGGUACAGACUCCUACGGGAGGCAGCAGUGGGGAAUAUUGGACAAUGGGCGAAAGCCUGAUCCAGCAAUACCGCGUGGGUGAAGAAGGCCUUCGGGUUGUAAAGCCCUUUUGUUGGGAAAGAAAAGCAGCAGGUUAAUACCCCGCUGUUCUGACGGUACCCAAAGAAUAAGCACCGGCUAACUACGUG